rnacentral:rRNA from 1 species
UACGGGGGGGGCAAGCGUUGUUCGGAAUUACUGGGCGUAAAGGGCUCGUAGGCGGCCAACUAAGUCGGAUGUGAAAUCCCCAGGCUUAACCUGGGGAACUGCAUCCGAUACUGGAUGGCUUGAAUCCGGGAGAGGGAUGCAGAAUUCCAGGUGUAGCGGUGAAAUGCGUAGAUAUCUGGAGGAAUACCGGUGGCGAAGGCGGCAUCCUGGACCGGCAUUGACGCUGAGGAACGAAAGCUAGGGGAGCAAACAGG